rnacentral:rRNA from 1 species
CACGAACCGUACGAACGUUAUUCGGAAUUACUGGGCUUAAAGGGUUUGUAGGCGGCCACGUAAGUCAGGUGUGAAAUCCCUCGGCUCAACCGAGGAAUGGCGCUUGAUACUGCGUGGCUUGAGGGAGACAGGGGUAAGCGGAACUGAUGGUGGAGCGGUGAAAUGCGUUGAUAUCAUCAGGAACACCGGUGGCGAAGGCGGCGUUCUGGACUGCAACUGACACUGAGGAACGAAAGCCAGGGGAGCAAACGGG